CAGCCGCCGCGGGAAUACGGAGGGGGCUAGCGUUGUUCGGAAUUACUGGGCGUAAAGCGCACGUAGGCGGCUUUACAAGUCAGAGGUGAAAGCCUGGUGCUCAACACCAGAAUUGCCUUUGAGACUGUAUCGCUUGAACGUCGGAGAGGUGAGUGGAAUUCCGAGUGUAGAGGUGAAAUUCGUAGAUAUUCGGAAGAACACCAGUGGCGAAGGCGGCUCACUGGACGACUGUUGACGCUGAGGUGCGAAAGCGUGGGGAGCAAACAGGAUUAGAUACCCGCGUAGUCCCUGUCUCUUAUAA
rnacentral:rRNA from 1 species